rnacentral:rRNA from 1 species
CAGCAGCCGCGGUAAUACGGAGGGUGCAAGCGUUAUCCGGAUUCACUGGGUUUAAAGGGUGCGUAGGAGGGCAGGGAAGUCAGUGGUGAAAUCUCCGGGCUUAACUCGGAAACUGCCGUUGAUACUCUCUGUCUUGAAUCCCGUGGAGGUGAGCGGAAUAUGUCAUGUAGCGGUGAAAUGCUUAGAUAUGACAUAGAACACCAAUUGCGAAGGCAGCUCGCUACACGAAGAUUGACUCUGAGGCACGAAAGCGUGGGGAUCAAACAGGAUUAGAUACCCUGGUAGUCCACGCCCUAAACGA